GGCUCUGCGGUGACAAUUGGUCUCCAGCCCGCGGCUGGAAUGCUGGACGCGUCAGCUGCUGAGUACAUCUUUUCCCGGCCUGUGAAGGGUUCCUCGCGGCAGCGCUGAGUUCCUUUGCCGGGUUGGGGGCGUGGGGGGGCGUUUGAGUCGUGCACCAGGGACCUUGAGGGCUGAGGUGCGGCUUCUCAGCGGACUUUGGCUCUCGUUCCCCUCGCCGUCCACGCCGGCACCUGGACGCCUGCCCAGCUGCACGCGCGCCCUCUCGGAGGCCCCUCUUAGGAACGCUUUUCCUGGGCAGAUAAGCACUCUUCCGGCCAGCGGCGCAUUUCGACUCUCCCCCGGAAUCUGGACUAAAGCCGGCCGGACUACAGAUAAACAGCUCUGUGGUGAGGGGCAGUUUCUGGAUCAGAGAUCUGCAAUAGUCGCACCGAAGAACUGAGUUAACUCUGAUUUUUCGACUCUUAGCCAAUAUCUCAGCGAGGAAAUUCCCAGACUCAGUGGUGGAAUAAGAUGAACUCUGGGAGCCGGUAUUGCUUUUGGUAGUAUACCUUGGACAUAACUCAGCUACUCUAAUGAACUAGAGACCGGCAUAAUAUUUUUAGGUAGACGUGAAGAAAUUCUAUUUUGAAGAGGUAGAGCAGGAUGAUGACGUUAUCUUGCAGUAUCUUAGUUCCCUGACCAGGGAUCGAACCCGUGCCCCCUGCAGUGGAAGCGUGGAAUCCUAACCACCGGAUCUCCAGGGAAUUCCCUCUAAGUGAUAUUUUCUAAUUGUUGUUGCUGUAGUCCAGGGCUUCCCCAGUGGCGCAGUGGUUGAGAAUCUGCCUGCCAAUGCAGGGGACACGGGUUCGAGCCCUGGUCUGGGAAGAUCCCACAUGCCACGGAGCAACUAGGCCCGUGAGCCACAACUACUGAACCUGCACGUCUGGAGCCUGUGCCCCGCAACAAGAGAGGCCGCGACAGUGAAAGGCCCGCGCACCGCGAUGAAGAGUGGCCCCCACUUGCUGCAACUAGAGAAAGCCCUCGC